AUUGAACGCUGGCGGCAGGCUUAACACAUGCAAGUCGAGCGGGGUGAUGGUGCUUGCACUAUCACUUAGCGGCGGACGGGUGAGUAAUGCUUAGGAAUCUGCCUAUUAGUGGGGGACAACAUCUCGAAAGGGAUGCUAAUACCGCAUACGUCCUACGGGAGAAAGCAGGGGAUCACCUGUGACCUUGCGCUAAUAGAUGAGCCUAAGUCGGAUUAGCUAGUUGGUGGGGUAAAGGCCUACCAAGGCGACGAUCUGUAGCGGGUCUGAGAGGAUGAUCCGCCACACUGGGACUGGAACAAGGUCGAGACUCCUACGGGAGGCAGCAGUGGGGAAUAUUGGACAAUGGGGGGAACCCUGAGCCAGCCAUGCCGCGUGUGUGAAGAAGGCCUUAUGGUUGUAAAGCACUUUAAGCGAGGAGGAGGCUCUUUUGGUUAAUACCCAAGAUGAGUGGACGUUACUCGCAGAAUAAGCACCAGCUAACUCUGUGCCAGCCGCCGCCGUAA
rnacentral:rRNA from 1 species